ACAAAAUUGAGAGCUGAUAAUGGUUUUUCUUUUUUAUUCACUUGCUUGUUCUUCUUCUUUAUCGCUCUCUCUCUCUCUCGAUCACUCACACUUGAAAAUGUUCACAUUACCAAUAACUGUGUCUUUAGUCGAAAAGUCAUGCCUCUUACAGACACACCUCUUACUUAAAAAACACAUUAACUGGGUAACGAUGAUAUGUCCAUACGACCAAACUCAAUUAUAAAACUAACAAAAAAGUAAAGGCAAAUGCAAAUCGCAGUAUGAGCGGCGAUGCUGAAGCUUCGUAAUCUUGUUCUUUUAUUCAUGCUCCUCACCGUCGCCGCUCAUAUCCUUUUAUACACCGAUCCAGCCGCCUCCUUUAACAAGACUCCUCCUUUUUGUCACUUGAAUCUUCGACAGUGCUCAGUGGAGGAGGAGAAGAAGUCGUGGUCUAUUCCAUUGAUAAGAUUUCACAACGGCAAGCCAUGUAAAACAUCUGAUCAUGUGCUGGAAACAACCUAGGAUUGCCAUUGGACUACUUAUCAUGCUUCGUGUACUCUGGUAUGUAUACGUGAUGAAUGAAACAACGGGUCAUUCCAAGGCCGGUGUGUUAAUGUGUUAUUUGCGGAUGGGUUGGGAUCUCAAACGCUUAUUACAGCAAAGAGUGUACACUUGGCCUCUCUUUUCAUAUGUGGUUCACUUUGGAUAGGAAGGGGAUUACCAGUUGGACUCUCGUCAUCUCACUCUUCCUUCUCUUCUCUUCCAGCUGAGGAGUCCUUUUGUUAUAAAAAUUGAUACUGAGAUACACCCCCACAAGAAUACUUCACUUAGGUGAACUUUGCUUUCUUUUUAAACUCUCAAUGAUGUAAAUUUCUAAAUGAUCUCUUCGAUCUCAUCAUUAUCCCUUCAUGCCAAUUUUUAUGUAAUGGAAUAGUUAUGUAAUGGAAUAGUUAGGUGUCGUUGAAGA